CGGAAAAUUCGGGGAAAAAGAUUAUUUCAACGUGAAAGAAAAUGUGCCAAUUUGCCUCGUCGACAAUUGCUUGGAUUUUAAUAACUACUUGGAGGUUCUUUCCAGCAGUUCUUGGUACUACGUUGCUAUCAUCUCAGACAAAGGUACAAGCAACACUAGAUACAACACAGAAAGCGGUUCAAGCAGCCCUGCCUUGGACUCGACAAACCUCAUCAUACGUCAGUAUAAUGCACAGCCAGUCCAAAACAGAUCUAAUUACAUCUUCUGUGAGCGUUGA